AUUCCCCUAGUAACUGCGAGUGAAGCGGGAAAAGCUCAAAUUUAAAAUCUGGUGGCCUUUGGCCAUCCGAGUUGUAAUUUAGAGAAGCGUCUUCCGCGCUGGACCAUGCACAAGUCUCCUGGAAUGGAGCGUCAUAGAGGGUGAGAAUCCCGUCUUUGGCAUGGACCCCCAGGGCUUUUGUGAUGCGCUCUCAAAGAGUCGAGUUGUUUGGGAAUGCAGCUCAAAAUGGGUGGUGAACUCCAUCUAAAGCUAAAUAUAGGCGAGAGACCGAUAGCGAACAAGUACCGUGAGGGAAAGAUGAAAAGCACUUUGGAAAGAGAGUGAAACAGUACGUGAAAUUGUUGAAAGGGAAACGCUUGAAGUCAGUCACGUCGACCGAGACUCAGCCUUGCCUCGGCUUGGUGUACUUCUCGUCCGACGGGUCAGCAUCAAUUUUGCCCCUUGGAUAAUGGCAGGAGAAAGGUGGCACCCUUUGUGGGUGUGUUAUAGUCUCCUGUCGGAUGCAAGGGUUGGGAUUGAGGAACUCAGCACGCACCUGUUGGUGUCGGGGCUUCGGCUCACGCUACGUGCUUAGGAUGCUGGCGUAAUGGCUUCAAACGACCCGUCUUGAAACACGGACCAAGGAGUCUAACAUGCCCGCGAGUGUUCGGGUGGAAAACCCGUGCGCGUAAUGAAAGUAAAAGUUGGGACCCCUGUCGUGGGGGGCACCGACGCCCGGACCAGACCUUCUGCGACGGAUCUGCGGUAGAGCGUGCAUGUUGGGACCCGAAAGAUGGUGAACUAUGCCUGAGUAGGGUGAAGCCAGAGGAAACUCUGGUGGAGGCUCGUAGCGAUUCUGACGUGCAAAUCGAUCGUCAAAUUUGGGUAUAGGGGCGAAAGAC
rnacentral:rRNA from 1 species